CUGGUUCAGGAUGAACGCUAGCUACAGGCUUAACACAUGCAAGUCGAGGGGCAGCGAGAGGAAAGCUUGCUUCCUUGUCGGCGACCGGCGCACGGGUGAGUAACGCGUAUCCAACCUUCCCCAUAGUAGAGGAUAGCCCGGCGAAAGUCGGAUUAAUACUCUAUGUUGUGUCAUGAGGACAUCUGAAUAACACUAAAGAUUUAUCGCUAUGGGAUGGGGAUGCGUCUGAUUAGCUUGUUGGCGGGGUAACGGCCCACCAAGGCGACGAUCAGUAGGGGUUCUGAGAGGAAGGUCCCCACAUUGGUACUGAGACACGGACCAAACUCCUACGGGAGGCAGCAGUGAGGAAUAUUGGUCAAUGGGCGUGAGCCUGAACCAGCCAAGUAGCGUGCAAGGAUGACUGCCCUAUGGGUUGUAAACUGCUUUUAUGCGGGAAUAAAGUCAGGUACGUGUACCUGUUUGUAUGUACCGCAUGAAUAAGGACCGGCUAAUUCCGUGCCAGCCGCUGC
rnacentral:rRNA from 1 species